rnacentral:lncRNA from 1 species
UAUAGAUCUAUAUGGGCUUGACAACCCACGCCGUGACUGUUAGCUACAGUCCACCAUUUGGGUUGACAAACGUCAUAACAUUCCAACGCCUGAAGAACGUUGUGUAUAGGCAUUCCGAGUCAAUAGUAUGGUUAUAAAACUCACAUGGGGUAUUCAAAAUGCAUUGAUUUACAAGGUUUUCAAACACAUUGGUUAUUUUACACUUACAUACAUUUUAAAAACCAACAUUGGUCUUGAGAGAAGGCUACUUUUAUACUAGUAGAAAAUAUAGGAUUUUCUAAACACAACACAACCAAGGACAAAACAUUUCAUUUCAUACAAACAUUGUCAUUUAAAUACUUAUGAAACUCACCAGCUUAAAUGCUAAUCUACUCUUUCAAAAUUACUUGUAUGUCCCAGGGAAUCAGUAAUUUCAGGUAUCAUUAUGCUUUUGAUGAAGGGAUGAUGCGGCGCCAGUUUAAUCUCUUAUUUUGACAUCAUAUUGUAAUUGGUUUUGAACAUGUAACUUUUUGAAAAAUGUAAACUUUCAAUUAUAUAUAUGAUGGUUGUAUUGCUUUCUUUACUAUGUAUUCAAUUGUUACGUUACCACAUGAAGUCAUCCGCCCUCGAACGUUUCCGCCGUUCAGGUUUGGGGGUGUGACAAAUCCUUUGAUGGCGUUAUAAAAGAUUUGCAAAUUGUUACAAAAGAACGACAUGUUCUUUUUGUACAAGAUGUGAAGAAGGUUAGGGAAGAUGUUAACUUAAAAAUUGAGGAGUUAAAGAAAGAAAUUGAAAAGGAGCUUCAAGAGCUUAAUUCGCAAAAUUUGGAUGUACAAAAACGUGUUGAUAUUGUUGCUGAAGCACUUACCAAUCUUGCUACUGAUUAUCAACCGUCUACUCAAAUUAUCGAAGCCAAGCAUCAAGAAAAUAAGGAGCAGUUUUCAAAAUUAAUUCAGUUGGUGACUGAAUUAAAAAGUUGUGUUUCGCAACCUUCUCAAAAAUCAAUUCUUACUCCGGAAUUUUUAACGCUUAAAGUCAACACUUUGGAGCAAGCUAUUCAGAAGGUGUUGGCCCCAAUUACUAAUUUUACUUCCGUCUUACCGAAGAAUGCCCCGCCUGCUUUCACAGGGGUGCAAGGGGGAGAAAUAAAAGGAAAUAAAGGAGAGGAUGCGAAAAUUGUUGGGAAGAUACAUUCAACUCAGCUUAAAACAACUUUGCCUGUAAUCACGAAACCAAUUCCUUCAACAAUAGUAACAACGUAGCCAAUUUCUAAGGGAAUUACAAUUGGUUCAAUAGAAGGAGGGAGUUCAAGUGCGAAACCUCAAACAAUGAAUACUGGAAAAGGCAAAGAGGUGGUUAUUGAAAAGUUAAAAGAAGAAAAGAAAGCUGAGGUUGAAGCUGAAAUGGAAAAAUAAAGUUAAAUUUAGAGCAUACUAAGGCAAAGAGCAAGUGACCCACCAACUUUGAACAAGGGUGAUCCUGCGAAGUUGUACUCAUUUGAAACCAUUGAAUCCAAAGUCUUGGGGAAUCACUUGUACGAGUUUGAGAAAAAGCCUAGAAGAAGUUAUGAUGUUGCGAAUUCAGACAGAUGCCAACUUGAUUUUCCAAUAAACGAAAUGAUGUUUAUUACGGCGCAGUACAAGAUCAGUGAAAAUUUUGAAAAUGCUGAUGAAUACACUUACUUGAAGAUCAGAUUUCAUGCUGUACUUGCGAAGGAUCAAGAGGAAGUUUGGUCUUUAAUGAAAAUCAAGAAAGCUCUAACAAUCAAGAAGGAUGUAAUGUUCGAGAACAUGCUUCAAAACUUUCGAUAUUUCAUGGUUCGUGUAGAUGACAAGGCAUUUGAUUUUACCAUUGCUGAUUUUCCCUUGAUGAAUCUAAAUGAUCUCAUUCAAGUGGCAUUUAUCCUUUAAGACAUGGAAGAAAACAAGCUAAAAGGAUAUGAUACUGAUGUGUUUAGAUUUGGUUUCGCACAUAUCAAGAUAUUCAUAGAUAACUACUAUGAUUGCUUGGCAUUGACUGAUGAAGAACUUGCAUCAGGCGUUGGAAGAAAAGUUACAGGCUCUUGGGAAUCAACUUUGCCUCAAACAGAAUUAAAGAAGUAUGCAGAUGGAGAAAUAUGCCUUAAACCUUUUGGCAUGGUUUUCGCAGGCAAAGAUACAAAGGGGAAGCCUAAGAGGUUUUUGUUUAAAGUCUCAGAGAUAGAAAGAUACACCACUUCGCAAUAUACGAAUUUCAGUAUUCGUAUGAAUAAUUGCACGAAGAAUAAUGAAGGAGACAGGAAGGAGCUUAAAAAGAUAAUCACUUGGUAUUCUGAAAUCCGAAGAACAUUGCACUCAGCUGUUCAGAAUCUCACAAACUGAAUAGCUUCGACUGUUUACAAAGGGGGAGAAUGUAGAGUCUAGAUAUUGUAAAAGUCGAAGUGCUUGUUUUCUUUAGUUUUGCAUGUUAGUUAUUUUACUAAGUCUUCAUUUGUGCGAAGCGUAUAGUUCAGGAGUUAGUAUAUUUUUUGUACACUCAGGUUUCCUAUAAAUAGGGACUGAGGUUAGAAGUAGAGACAUCGAAUACACGAGUGAUUCAUUAAUCAUUCGCAAGUUCUCUCUGCUUAAGUCUGUAAUCAGUUUCUUCAUCAAUAUAAGAUCUAAUUAAUAGUUACUUCUUGUGUUCUUAAUUUUCAUUCAUAUAAUCAUGAUUGCUUUCUAAAUCUUGAUUACAAUUCUCUUCAAAAUCUUUAUGCCAAUAAAUUUACCCACAACCCAACCCCAAUCAAUAUCAACAAAAACCAUUCCAAUACCAACCACAACCUUCUUAACCACAACAUUCUCGACCACAACCUUCUAAUACUCAAAUUUCUGACGACGAUGACAUAAUUGUUGCAUAUACUCAAGAGACGAAAAAAACGUACCAAGAAAGAAAAAUAAAACGAUGGUUCUCAACAGAAGAUGACAAAAGUGGAAUGAAGAAAGGAAACGACUUUGUCGUAAGCUUGGAUUUUGGUAUCCGACAAUUCUUAAAAAAAGAAGCAAUAAAUCUUCAACAACUUUUUGGGAGCAAGUUUUAACACAAUUUAUUUAAUAAUAUAAUGCAAAAAUGCAUAUACCGGAGCUACGACGACAUAAACAGAAAAUGACGCAAGUUGAGGCAAGAUUGCACAAGCUUUAAUGACAUAUUUAAUAAUCUUUAAAUUAUGCAUGCUAGUGGUACAAACGAUUUCAACAUUUUGGGUACGACACUUGAAAGUUAUAAAAACACAAAGGGAAACACUUACCCAUCAAAAAACAUGGAAUAUAUAUCAUAGGGGCCAAAGUGGGUCCUUAAACUAGAUUCGACUUCGCAAUCUAGUGAAUCGAAAUGAUUGAGAAUAGUAUAAACAAAUGUCGGUUGAAGAGUCGAUGUCAAUGAAGAGUAUGAGGAGUCUCCACCGGAGGUAACAUUGAAGCGACCGAUUAGAAGAGAUAAGGCUAGAUGAGAGGUAUCAUCAUCAACUAAAAACAUCACCGAAAUUGUCACGGAUAAGCUUGCAUCAAAACCCGAUAUACAUUACGAAUAUGUUAAUAAGAAUUUCUAACAAAAAGGAAAAAUCACUUUGGAACAAACUAAAAUGACUAUGAAUCAACAAAUGAUGGACGAUAUGCAAAUGUUGAACAUGGAGCCGAAUCGAAAUAUUCCGGCAAGAGAUCUCGAGGGAGUCAACAAAAUGAAAGAUAAAAUUAACGUAAAACAUAACAUUUAAUAUUUCUUAUUUAAGUUUCAUUUAGAUGUUUUUUAAUUUUUAUGUAACUUUUUAGUUAUAUUAAUGUUAUUUUUUUAAUUAAUGCAUUUUAAAUUUUAGUUUUUAUCAAUGUAGGUUUUUAAAUUAAUGUACAUUUACUUUUAAUUUUUAUGUAUUUUUAUUUAAUUUAUUGAAAAUAAAUUUACAUAGAUUUUCUAUUAAAAUAAAUAAAUAAAAUAAUAUGAUAUUGGUGAGGUGGAAUAGUGACAAUUUCAAAAAAAGAAAAAUAUAGGAACCGGUAUGGAGUGAUUGUGAUGUGACCAUGAAUUGUCUGCACUUUUGAAAUGGUAGAGUGAUGAUCACUUGUAAUAAUAGUCUAACGCCACAUUAUUGUCAUUGUAUACAUGAGUUAGUUAUAUUCUGUUAGUCAGUUCUUUCAUACACGCUCUUUUGUUUAUAUGUGUAAAUAGUUAAGAUUCUUUCUCUCUGAGAGAGGGAGAUAACAUAUUCACAUACCUCACUCUGGUCGUUUCUUUACCUCAACAACAAACAUGAAUGAAAACCAGAAGCUUGUAUUAAAAUAUAUACUAAAAAACCAGAAGCUUGUAAAAAUAUACUUGUCUUAAUUUGUGUUGAACCACCAACAAGUUUUGAGUGAUCAUACAAGUUCAAGUAAAAAGAAGUAUACUUGUCGUAUUCUAUACUAGUUUUGAUGAGGGUUCUUUUUGUAAAAAGAAACAUAUUGCGGUGCAGUCGUCCCUUUUUGACGAAGGGAACUUUUGUUUCCAGGCAGCAGUUGCUGCUACAACAACUGCUUUUGCGGCUGAUUCUUCACUAUCUGCUGACCACACGAUUGAUGCUACUGUGUUGUUGCUAAGCACAUCCCACACCUGAUAAAUGUUUUUUCGGGUCAAUAAAUUUGUAUGGAUGUACCAAAUAAAAUGUAUAAAACCACACACGUUUUAUUAGUUAGUGGUCCAAAACUACUCUGUUUUAUUUACACAUCAUGAUGAGACCGGCAACUGGCAAGUAUUCAAUAUGAUGAGCACAUUUUUAUUGAGUUUGGUUUUUGCCUUGAAUCAAAAUCAAAAUGGAAAAGAUUCAGUUUUUUAAUUAGCCUUAAAAACCAAUAUUUUCAGUUUCCCUUUCCGGUUUCUUGAGUUCAUUUGGGUCCUUUUCCGGGGAUUUUGAGUUUUCAACUUUUGGGUUGCAUAAAGAAAUAAAUAUAACAAUUUGUUGAGGCCAAAAUCAAUGAAAGAAUAGUAAAGUGUUGAAUUUUGUAAUAUACAAUAGCAAGAAAAUUUUAGACAUUCAUAUAUAUANNNNNNNNNNNNNNNNNNNNNNNNNNNNNNNNNNNNNNNNNNNNNNNNNNNNNNNNNNNNNNNNNNNNNNNNNNNNNNNNNNNNNNNNNNNNUAUAACAAAUUGGCGUGUAAUGAUAUUAAAUAAAUCAUCAAGUAAGGAACUUCAAGUGAUGUUCGAUUUUUAGUUUAAAACAAAAGAAUCAAACCGUAGUUUUUGGGUGUUAGUUAGUUAGUUAGUUCGGUUUUAGCUUCAACAUGUGACUUACCCCGUCGCUUGCAAGAACAAGAAACUGAUCCUUGGGGGUCAAUCGGUGAUAAGAGACAUCAGGAACCGCAAUAAUCCCAUGACUUUUUAGUACAAAAUCCCCAAAAGCGCGAGACAUGGCAAGCCCCGGUGAGUCAUGAUGUGGUAACCACACUCGAUCUAUAUGUGGUUCUUCUCUUAGCGCCAUCACCCUACCAUUUGACUUCCUUAUUCGAUCUGCUUCAGCUGCUCAAAAGUUUAAUCGUUACUUCAUAUAAAAACAAACGAUCUCAGAAUAAUCAUAUAGUAUAAACACUUACAAGGUACACUUGGUUUGAGAUCAAUGGUCAAUUGCACAGGCGUAAUUCCAUUUUCAGCAAUUGUUCCUAGCACUGCUCUCGAAUCACCAAGAUUAGCAAUAACCAGAUCUUCACCCUGUCAAGUGUCAAACCAAACAGCUCAGUUGGUUCACUGCUAGAAAUGGUUCAUUAGAGACACAGAUUAAUUUAUUAGAAGAUCAACUAUAUGCAUGGAUAAUAGGAGACAUGUGGUACCUGUUUGAUAACAAUAACAGCGGUUGUGCCGCUACAGGAACAAUCUACAUGCUCGAUAACCUUAAUCUCCUUGUCCAUGACUUUGAAGGCACCAAAACAUGCAUCUCUCCAAAUCUGGAAAUCUUUGGACUCAUUCUCAUCAUCUUCAAUUACUGUUUUCCCCUUUGCUAUGCUGGAAUUCCUUUCGUUAAUGAUCAAUGAUGGCAACUUAUUUCUCACAAAUUUACUCACUAUUUGACCAUUCCUUCCAUGGCCAUCAAACACCCCACCAAAUGCUCCAUCUUCCAUUCCAUAGUCCUUCAUCAACAAUCAUAUCAUCAUUUAAAAUAAAAAAUUGUGAUAUAUAUAUACCCAUUGAUCAGAUUUGGCACAUACGAUCUAUAGAAGGAAAAUGGUUGAAUCACAAGGAGCGAGAUAGCAAACCUGGUAAAGAAUGGCAGCAUCUUGGUUGAAUCCUUUGGAUCCUUGAUGUGUAUGGAUGGAGCCAAUUCUUUUAUCAGAAGGGGUAUGUUGGUAAUAUAUGAUGUUGUCAUGGCCAUAGUCAAUCUCAUGAAUCUCUGGAGAUGCUCGGGAUAUGCAGAUACCCAUUACAGAUUUUUAUAACCAAAGGCUUCUCAAAAUGACCUCUUUAUAUAAACUCAAAUACACAAUUAUAUUCUAGUAAUUGUGGGUGGAGGAGUCCCAAUCCCAUACAACCCAUUUGGUUUUUUAUAUGAAAGCUUAUGUAACUGUUUAAUUAAGCAAUAAAGUCAAAUUAUUUGUUUUAGUAUGCAUUGGGUUUAUUAGCAAGAAAUCGAAUCUGAAAAGACAAGCAUACGUAGUUAAAUAUAAUAUAUACGUAUACUUAUUCAAUAAUAAAAUAUUGUAUAAAAAUUUAAAACAAGGCAAGUUGUGGCCGAAACAUCAAUUAUGCAACAUUUCAAUAUUUAAUAAUCAAUAGAAUAUACGUUUUACCGAAAAAGUCAAAUUCUAUGAGUCAUUGCCUAUCCUUUAUUUGUUCAUUUAUAUUAACUUCUAAUAUAAUAAUCGUGAUUUUAAAAGAGAGUAAUGAAUGAAAAUAGAAUAUUUUAUAAAAGGAAAAGAGUAGCCCAAGACUCGGUUGAAAAGGCAUCUUAGUUGUAUCACCGAAAGCUUCGGGUCGAAACAUUGCUCGUUGUCAACACCUAAGUCGACCACUAUAAUAUGACGAUGAUCGUGUUGUUUCGAUUAUAUAAAUCCUUUAAACCUCCUUACCACACCUGGCGUUGCAAACGGAAAGUUAAAGUAUAUAUAUCCAAAACUAAAUGUGUAUUUUACGAGUUUAUUUAAAUAAAAUUAAAUUUAAAAACAAUAAGAAAAAUGUUGAAUUAUUAAAAUUAAAAUGUCUUUUUUCUUUUAAAUUUAAACAAAUAAUUUAGAUAAAUAAACAAAUAAGCUAAAGAGACUUUAGCUUAAUAAUUUGGAAAUUAAAAGGAAAGUCCAUUAAUAAAAUUAAUAUGCAUUUCUUAUUACAUUUAAAUAUUAUGUGAAAUUUAAUAAAAUAGAAAAAACCAUAAAAUAACAUGUGGAAAAAAAUAAAAUAAUAAGAAAAAUUCAUAUCCCUAUACUAAUAAAAGAGUAGUUGUUUUGUCAUGUGUCACCAUAUUAGACAUCCUAAUUAAUAUGAUGCCACUUGUCAAUCAAUUAAUUCUUCAUUUCAAAUUUAUUAGACCUCCUGAUUAAUGUGAUGUUAUUUGUCAAUCUAUUUAUUUUCCGUUUUCCAUUUUAAAUUUUAUAUUAUUGUUUAAAUUAGUUCUCAAAUAAAAGUUAUCCGAUAUAAAUUAAAAAUUAAUUUCACAUAUUUAUUUGAAUCAACGAAUAUAAUUUUACAUAACUAAUAAAAAUAUCUCUUAAUUAAUAAUUUACUUAAAAUAAUUGAUUAACAAUUUUGAAUUUUUACAAUGAAAUUUUAAUUAAUUUUGUAACCGUGAUUCUCACGGGUUAUAAAUUAGUUAUAUAAUACAUUAGAAGAUGACAAGUGAUAAAAUUGUUUUCACUUAUUGACGAGGAAAUAUUUUUUUCUUUUACAUUUAAACAAAUAAUUUAGAUAAAAUAAACAAAGAAAACUAAUGAGACUUUAGUUUAAUAAUUUUGAAAUUAAAAGGAAAGUUAAUUAAUGAAAUUAAUAUGCAUUUAUUAUUACAUUUAAAUAUUAUGUUAAAUUUAAUAAAAUGGAAAAACAAAAUGACGUGACAUGUGGGAAAAACAAGGAAAAUAAUAAGAAAAAAACCAUGUGACAUAAUGUAACACCCAAAUUUUAAAAAAAAAAAUUCACAAUUUUAAAACAUACUUUCAUUUAUAAAAUAAUAAUAAACAUAAUGUAUCCACUGUCAUCAUAGAAAAACAUAUCCCAAAAUCAUAUAACAAAAGCUCCAUGAGUGUGUACGGAUUAAGCCAGCGCCUUCCCGCGAUCAUCACUAGUACCUGAAACACAUACAAAAAACUCUUAAAGCAUAAAUACUUAGUGAGUUCCCCAAAAUACCACAUAAACACAUAUCAGCCACUCAAGGUUGUAACUCUAAUGACCCUCUGGUCGAAUAUCUCUGUGGGACCCUCUUGGUCCCAUAACUCUGUGGACCCACUGGUCCUAACUCUUUAAACUCUGAAUCAUGCAUAUCAAAUAUCACAUAGGAUCACAACACAUAAAUAGCAUACAAGGUACACUGUCACAUAGCUCUAAUUACCACUCUAGGUAAAGUAUGGUGAGAAGACUCACCUCGGGAAUCUCGGUAAAAUCUCGAUAUCAGAAUACUGCCCUAGCCUCCGCCUAGUCAUAAUAAUAAAUUUCACUAAAUAAAUGUCUCUUUACAAUUUGGAUAUUCUCUCAUGCAAAUCCCUAGAAGGGUAAAAGACCAUUCUACCCCUCUACAGGCCCACGACCCAUUUGUUGACAAACCGUAAAAGUCAACCCAAAAGUUAACUAUCCAUUUUGAUCGGACUCGCCGAGUGCAUACGAAGACUCGGCGAGUCCCAUCGUCCCCACAGACUCUUCCUUUUCUAAGCCUCACUCGACUCACUGAGUCACCCCUCAACUCACUGGGUCACCACUAGAGUCAGACCCCGAGGCAACCCCGUCCGACUCGUCGAGUCUACAUAUGGACUCGGCGAGUUUCCUCCAUUGACUUGCUCAAACAACCUUCUGAGGUCAGAUCUGCUUAGCCAAAUCAUAUCAUAGAUCUAACCCUUAAACACUCAAAAGUCACAUAAAGGUGCAACCUUUACGUGCAUGCAACCCGAUUCAAGCCUCAAAUGGAGAAAUGACACUAGAAAUGGCAACCUAGUCUCCAAUUGCUUAUUUACUUGCAAAAAGCUAGAAGGUAAUGACUCUAGGGACCUAUCAUGGUCUAGAUCUGAUGUCAUAAUCCCAAAUAGGACCUCAUACUCACUAGAUCUUCCAUAAAAUGAGGGUAAAAACCCUAAAAUCAAGAAGUCCAUCAAUAUAACACGAAAUGGAAAGGAUUAUACAUCCAAAGAUAUCACGAGAUGAUUGGCUCAGAUCUAGUCCCUUUCACACUCUAGAUUUGUGCUCCUCACUUCCUUCAAGCAAAAGCACACAAAAAAGAUGAAGAAAUGGCCUCCUAUUGCCCUCAAACUCACUAUCUCAGCUCUCUAGGGUUUCUCUGGAACAAGGUAGCCGCAAAUGAAGGCCAUAAAGGUCCUUAAAUAGGCUUCCAAAUCGGGGGAUUAGUGUUUUCCUAAUCAGCACCGACUCGGCGAGUCAGGUCCUGACUCGUCGAGUCCANNNNNNNNNNNNNNNNNNNNNNAUUCGCAAAAAUGCGCAAAUAGAUCAGACUCUACUCGACGAGUUGAGGCAUCAACUCGUCGAGUUCCUCAAGAAAACAAUAAAUAAAUAAUUAAACUAACAUACCCGAACUCAGGAUGUUACAAUUCUCCCCCACUAGAAUUAGACUUCGCCCUCGAAGUCUCGCUCUGCAAAUAACUCUGGAUACUGCUCACACAUCUCAAUCUCUGGUUCCCAUGUCAGCUCGGAUCCCUUCCGAUGUUGCCACUGAACCUGCACCAAGGAAACCUCCUUGUUUCUCAAAACCUUGAUUCUCCGAUCCCGAAUCGCAAUUUGCCUUUCAACAUAAUUCAGGCUCGCAUCCACCUGAAUAUCCUCUAACGGUACCACCGCCGAUUCAUCGACAAUACACUUCCUCAACUGAGACACGUGGAAGGUAUCAUGAAUCUGACUCAACUCCGCAGGUAACUCCAAACGAUACGCUACCCUGCCAACCCUCGCAAUCACCUAGAAUGGACCAAUAUACCGAGGCCCCAACUUGCCUCUCUUCCUGAACUGGAUCACACCUUUCCAAGGUGACACCUUCAGGAGAAUGAAAUCACCAACCUGGAACUCGAGCUCUGAGCGACGCCUAUCUGCGUAGCUCUUCUGACGACUCUGAGUCCUCAGUAACCUCUGCCUGACUUGCUGUAUCUGCUCAGUCAUCUGAAGUACUAUCUCCGUGCUACCCAUCACUCGUUGUCCUACCUCUCCCCAAUAGAUGGGAGUUCGACACUUCCUCCCAUACAACAACUCGAAGGGAGGCAUACCAAUGCUCGAAUGGUGGCUGUUGUUAUAGGAAAACUCAGCCAAAGGCAAAUACGUGUCCCAACUCCCUUCGAAAUCCAACACACAAGCCCGAAGCAUGUUCUCCAGUGUCUGAAUCGUCCACUCACUCUGUCUGUACAUCUGUGGGUGGUAAGUGGUACUGAAAUGCAGCCUAGUACCCAACUCCUCAUGGAACUUUUUCCAGAAUCUGGAAGUGAAAUGCACAUCUCGAUCUGACACAAUCGAGAUCGGUACACCAUGUCAUGAUACCACCUUCCUCACAUACACCUCUGCCACCUCUCCGCAGAAGAUCUCUCGCUGAUAGCAAGAAAAUGAGCGCUCUUUGUCAGCCACUCGACGAUCACCCAAAUUUCAUCGACGCCUCUGGCAGUCCUCGACAAUUUGGUGAUAAAGCCAUGGAAAUAUGUUCCCACUUCCACUGGGGAACCUCAAGCGGCUGCAACUUGCCAUGUGGACACUAGUGCUCGGCCUUAACCCUGCGACAGGUCAAGCACCUCUCUACAAACCACGCCACAUCCUUCUUCAUACAGGGCCACCAAUAGUCUCUUUUCAGGUCCAAAUACAUCUUAGUGGCCCCGGGAUGGAUCGAAAACUUCGACCUGUGCGCCUCCUCCAUCAAAAUGGCACGUGGUCCCCCCUCAAAUGGCACCCAAAUCCGACCCUGGAAGGUCAUAAGCCCCCAGUUAUCGGCAAUGAACUCAGAUAUCUGUCCAAUCACCCGCUACCGAUUGCGUUUCUCCGGUCUCAUGGCCUCUACCUAGGCCUCCCGAAUGGUGUCCAACACCGGAGUCAUCACUGUCAACCUCAGACAAACAUCUCACAAAGGGGCACUCUCUGCCCUGCAACUCAAGGCAUCGGCUACCACGUUAGCCUUGCCCGGGUGGUAUAGGAUCUCACACCCAUAAUCCUUUACCACAUCCAACCAUAUCCUCUGACGCAUGUUCAAGUUGGGCUGAUCCAUCAGAUACUUCAAGCUCUUGUGGUCCGUGUAUAUGGUACACCGAACCCCAUACAAAUAGUGACGCCAGAUCUUAAGGGCGAACAUCACAUCCCCCAACUCCAGAUCCUAAGUAGGAUACCUCGUCUCAUGAGGCUUCAGCUGCCUCGAUGCAUAUGCUAUCACAUGCCCUCUCUGCAUCAGCACCACACCCAAUCCCGAUAUCGACGCGUCAUAAUAUACCACAAAGUCCUCCAUUCCCUUCGGAAGGGCCAACACUGGGGCUUCGCAUAAUCUUUAGCGAAGUGUUUCGAAUGAGGCCUGCUGCUCCGAGCCCCAACUGAAAGUCACGCCUUUCCAGGUUAGUUUGGUGAGAGGAACAACAAUCCUAGAGAAAUCCUGGAUGAAUCUCCGAUAAUAACCAGCCAACCCCAGGAAACUCCUGAUCUCCGAAGGGGAUCUCGGCACCCCCUAACUCAUCACCGCCUCAAUCUUGGUCGGAUCGACCAAUAUCCCAUUCUGGUUGACGAGGUUUCCUGGAAACUAGACCUCUCGUAACCAGAAAUCACACUUGGAGAAUUUGGCAUAAAGCCUCUCCUAUCUCAGAACUCCGAGGAUCUCCCUCAAAUGCUUCUCAUGAUGCUCUCUGGAUCUCGAAUACACCAAUAUAUCAUCAAUGAACACGAUCACCGAACGAUCAAACAUCGGCCUGCACCCCCUGUUCGUGAGAUCCAUGAACGCUGCCAGUGCAUUGGUGAGCCCGAAAGGCAUCACCACAAACUCGUAAUGCCCAUAACGAGUCCUAAACGCUGUCUUUUGGAUAUCCUCAUCACGCACACUCAUAUGAUGAUAUCCAGACCUCAAAUCAAUCGUGGAGAACCAAGACGCUCCCUGCAACUGAUCGAACAAAUCGUCGAUCCUCGGUAAGGGGUAACGGUUUUUGACCGUCAGCUUGUUCAACUCCCGGUAAUCAAUGCACAUCCGAUGUGAACCAUCCUUUUUCUUGACAAAAAGGAUCGACGCUCCCCACGGCGAGCUACUCGGCCGUAUAAACCCCUUUCCCAGCAACUCCUGAAGCUGCAAGGAUAACUCCUGCAUCUCUUGAGGUGAAAGGCGAUAGGGUGCCUUGGAGAUAGGCGUUGCCCCGGAACCAAAUCGAUAUGGAACUCCACCUGCCUCUCGGGAGGCACACCCGGAAACUCCUCGGGGAAAACAUCCAGGAACUCAUGCACUAUCGGAACCUCAUCGACCGACCUUAGUCUCUCUGCACCUACCCUUGUAUCCACCACAUAAGCCACAAACCCACUACAGCCUUACUGUAGACUCUGCCUCGCCCUCGAGGCUGAACAAAAUGCUGACCUAUAAUGGUUACCCUCACCAUAAAUCGUAAGAACUCCCCUACUAGGGUCUCGUAUGGUCACCAACUGUCAUUCGCAGUCGAUAACCGCUCCAAAUCUGCUUAACCAGUCCAUGCCCACGAUGAUACAAACAUCUCCCACAGCAAUCGGGACCAAAUCAAUCGGAAACUCAACGCCUAAGAUCUCGAGUACACAUCCUCAAAUCACAUCAGUGGCAUACACUGUUCUCUCGUCAGCUAUGGAAACUCGCAAUGGUUGACUCAACGCUUCUCGACGAAUACCAAUGUGCUGACUAAAGGCUAACGAAACAAAAGACCGACUCGCACCCGAGUCAAAUAACACCAAAGAAGGUACAGAACACACAAGAAAUGUACCUACGCAUAUAACAACAUAAGCAUAACACCACAAACUCAAAAUAAACAGAAGAAAGAAUACAUACCAGCCACAACAUCGGGUGUUGCGCGGACCUCCUCCGCUGUCAACUGGAAGGCUCUCCCGCGAGCGUUCGGCGCCUCGGCCUUCACCGGUCGACUCUCCGUAGCUCGAACAGCAGCAGGGACAGAUCCCUGAGAAGCUCCCUGAGCUGACCCUCGUAACUGCGGACACAUAGACUUCCGGUGUCAGGUCUGGUUGUAGUUAAAACAAAUUGCAAACCCCUUGGGGAAAUCCUUGGCCAUGUGCCCCUCCUUGCCACACUUGUAGUAAGACCUUACUCUACACACCCCCUCAUGACUCUUGCCACACUUGCCACAAGUGCGGGCCUUCUGGUUCGCUGAUCUCGAAUCGGCGAGCUUAGCCCGCUUGGCAGCCGGAUGGGACUGUGUCGGUCGCCGAUUCUUUCCCUGAGACUCCGCCUCCUCCCUAGCAUGAGUCUCUAGCUCAAUCUCCCUCUUCCGGGCAUUUUCCUGAAGCUCGGAAAAUGUACGGUAUGUUGAGUUUGCCACUAACUCGCGGAUGUCUCUCCUCAAAGUACUCAAUGUACGGUAUGUUGAGUUUGGCACCAACAUCGCCCUCUCAUGAAACAUCCUGGUGAUCACUGUAACAGACUCGGUACCCUGCUUGAGGGUCAGAAACUCCUGGGCCAAACGUUCCCUUUCCACCAGGGGAAUGGACUCAUUUCGAAACAUAGUGGUGAACCUCUCCUAGGUCACCGCAGUGAUCUCUACAGAAGUGAAGUGUGCUGUCACAAACUUCCACCAGUCCUUCACUCCUAAGCGAAGCUGGUUCAAAGUGAAUCGUACCCUCAGAUGCUCCGGACAUGAACAUGUGUAGAAGCACCCCUCAAUGUCAGAGAUCCACCUCAUCGCGGCUAUUAGAUCUUGAGUCCCAUCAAACUCUGGUGGCUUCGUGUUGUUGAACUGCCGGUACAGCAACGCGUCACCCCCUGCGGCCUGGCAGCAGCAACGGAUGCAGUGGCUGCAGCAACAGCAACAUCAGUAAGAGCAGCAUACCGCUCAUCAAAAGUAUCAAUCAGUGUGGUCUUGAUAGACCCGAACAUCUCUGGAAUCUCGGCGCGGAUGGCCGCAGCCACCUCAUCAUGAAUCAUCUGGCGGAGCUCCUCAUCGCUCACACCCCCUCACUUGUCCCUGGCUUGUGGUGUGUCCCAACCAUGAUGUCUCUCUGAAAUACAACACAAGAUAUCAGAGACUCGCUCGCGUGUACACACACUCGAUAUCUUAUUCCUACUUGAUCCCUGGUACCCUAAGGAUUCUUACUUGGGUUGCGCACUGAUCCGGUGUCUUCGGUAGUACGGGCCCAAUACUAUGUCCCAAGUACUCUACUCUCUCUAUAGAUAGUCUACUCUCGACCAGAUCUCUCAUAAGCUCAUCACUGCUAUUUAUUCACUCUGAAGCAUCUGCUAGCAGCAAAAUCCCUAGGCCAAGGCAUCAAAAAUCAGGCCACUCUAGUCCUAAUAAGAAUACCUAGCCUACUCUAGCAUGCAUAUCAUAACAUAUCUCAUAACUCAUAAUGUAAGGGUAUUUUGGGAAAUCACCGUUUGGGCGUUGGCUGAUCGUACACACUACUCUGCUCUGCUUUUUCAAAAACUUUUUUUACUCUUGAGAAAAAUUUUAUGAAUUUUAUUUUGAAAAUCCCUCAAAUCCUCAGUUUGAGUUCAGAUACGCCUGAAGGUGCACUCGAAUCCCUCACACCAAGGCUCUGAUACCAACUUAUAACACCCAAAUUUUCAAAAAAAAAAUUCACAAUUUUAAAACAUACUUUCAUUCAUAAAAUAAUAAUAAACAUAAUGUAUCCACUGUCAUCAUAGAAAAACAUAUCCCACAAUCAUAUAACAAAAGCUCCAUGAGUGUGCACGAAUCAUGUCGGUGCCUUCCCGCGAUCAUCACUAGUACCGGAAACACAUACACAAAACUCUGUAAGCAUAAAUGCUUAGUGAGUUCCCCAAAAUACCACAUAAACACAUAUCAACCACUCAAGGCUGUAACUCUGAUGACCCUCUGGUCGAAUAUCUCUGUGGGACCCUCUUGGUCCCAUAACUCUGUGGACCCACUGGUUCUAACUCUAUAAACUCUGAAUCAUGCAUAUCACAUAUCACAUAGAAUCACAAAACAUAAAUAGCAUACAAGGUACACUGUCACAUAGCUCUGAUUACAAAUCUAUGUAAAGUAUGGUGAGAAGGCUCACCUCGGGAAUCACGGUAAAAUCUCGAUAUCAGAAUACUGCCCUAGCCUCCGCCUAGUCAUAAUAAUAAAUUUCACUAAAUAAAUGACUCUUCACAAUUUGGAUAUUCUCUCAUGCAAAUCCCUAGAAGGGUAAAAGACCAUUCUACCGCUCUACAGGCCCAAAGCCCAUUUAUUGACAAACCCUAAAAGUCAACCCAAAACUACUCUAUCCAUUUUGACCGAACUCGGCGAGUGCAUACGACGACUCGGUGAGUCCCAUCGUCCCCACAAACUCUUCCCUUUCUAAGCCUCACUCGACUCACUGAGUCACCCCUCAACUCACCGGGUCACCACUGGAGUCAGACUACGAGGCAACCCGGUCCGACUCGUCGAGUCUACAUAUGGACUCGGCGAGUUUCCUCCAUGGACUUGCUCAAACAACCUCCUGAAGUUAGAUCUGCUUAGCCAAAUCAUAGAUCUAACCCUUAAACACUUAAAAGUCACGUAAAGGUGCAACCUUUACGUGCAUGCAACCCGAUUCAAGCCUCAAAUCGAGAAAUGACACUAGAAAUGGCAACCUAGUCUCAAAUUGCUUAUUUGCUUGCAAAAAGAUAAAAGGUAAUGACUCUAGCGACCUCUCAUGGUUUGGAUCUGAUGUCAUAAUCCCAAAGAGGACCUCAUACUCACUAGAUCUUCCAUAAAAUGAGGGUAAAAACCCUAAAACCAAGAAGUCAAUCAAUAUAACACAAAAUGGAAAGGAUUAUGCCUCCAAAGAUGAUAUCACGAGAUGAUUGGCUCAGAUCCAGUCCCCUUCACACUCUAGAUUUGUGCUCCUCAUUUCCUUCAAGCAAAACCACACAAAAAGAUGAAGAAAUGACCUCCUCUUGCCCUCAAAAUCACUAUCUCAGCUCUCUAGGGUUUCUUUGGAACAAGGUGGCCGGAAAUGAAGGCCAUAAAGGUCUUUAAAUAUGCUCCCAAACCCGGGGAUUAGGGUUUUCCUAAUCAUCACCGACUCGGCGAGUCGGGUCCCGACUUGUCGAGUCCGUUCACGAAAAUACGCCAGUAGAUCAGACUCUACUCGACAAGUUGAGGUAUCAAAUCGUCGAGUUCCUCAAUAAAACAAUAAAUAAAUAAUUAAAUUAACAUACCCGAACUCAGGAUGUUACACAUAAUGUAUUAGAAGAUGAUAAGUGACAAAUUUAUUUUCAUUUAAUUGGAAAGAUUUUAAAAACUUGUUUUUUAAUUGAACUAGUAAGGUGGUCAGUUUCUGAUUACUAGUUUGACCACAAGAUCAACCCGAUUUCUAGAAUCACUUCAAAUAGAUUAUAAAAACAUAUAACCAUAAGUUUAAAAUCAAUCUACAUAUAUUUAAUAGAGAAUAAGAUAUAACACUUAAACAAUAUAUAAUUAAAAAUGAAUACAAACACAACAUACAACUUUAGAACAUUCUCAUGCAUUUUUAUUAAAUUUAAGAAAUGCCUAAAUGGAUAUGUAAAGACAAUCAAUGUUUAUUAUUCAAAAUACUUCAUUUCCAUGUAUUUUUAUUCAAUUCAACCGGUUCAACCAUUCAAAAGAUAAUCGAUUCAACAAAAUUUUUGUAAAAAUUGACCGGUUCAUUCAUGUCCUGAAAUAGACGUAAAAUUGGUGCUAGUUGAACCGCUCACUUUUCCGAUUUCUAUUCCAACAAGUUCGAACUAGUUUUUAANNNNNNNNNNNNNUAUAUAUAUAUAUAUCGUAUACUUUUAUGAAACCCUUUCAAGUUGGAAGACACGAUGGAUGUAACACUCGUGGUUCAGGUACAUUUUGAUAAUUGUUUAAAUUAAGUUUUGGGAGUAAGGGUUGUGGACUGCGGCAUGGUUAGUUUAAUGAGACCACAACAUAGUGGGCCUCUGAGGCCAAAACCCUAGAGACCUAGAGUCCUGAGCCCUAUUUAAGGGCACUUGUAACAUCUUAAAAUUUCAAACAAAAUUUUCAUUUUAAAAUCACAUAAUUCUCAUAACACAUUUCACAAAAAAUCCCAAUUAUUUAAUUACAAAACGUAACUUCAUAGUUGUUUGAUUGAUAAUCUAGGAUCCUCAAAACAUAACUCCUUUCUUUUGUGUACAAUCAAGCCGAUGAAUUCCAAAUUACAACAACAUAAUCGUGAAUCCCCUGUCACCGACCUACUUAUUCAUUUCCUGAGAAUACAAGUCAUUUGAAAAGCGUCAACAUAAAAUACGUUGGGGAGUUCAUAAGCAUUUUGUAUAAAAAUCUUUGGUAGUUGGUGAAACCAGAAAAUCCCAUAUUUUCUUAUCAAGUGGUUAUGAGUCCUGUUUCCAAUCAAGUGUAGUUGCAUGUGUUUUCCGGUUAAUUGUUUUUCGAAAUCGUAUAAAAUUGGUUUUCCUCAGAAAAUGCUAUAUUUUCUGCUGUAUAAAAAGGUGGUCUUAACACUCUAAGACGGGUAUGAUAAAAGCUUUGUUUGUAGUAUUCAAAACAAUAUUUUUCUAAAAUCGAAAGGUGUAACUCGAGUAAUUUUCCAAAACAUACUGUUAUAUUCUUAGUGAGUCGUUAUAACAUACUAAUAUGACGGAGUGCCUGUUCUAACGUUCUUCAGGCGUUGAUUUUGUUUGAGACAUUUGUCACCCUAGAGUGGCCGGUCUAGCUAUAGUGAACAGCGAAGGUGUGGGGUGUCAACCCCAUAUAGAUCUAUACACAAAUUUCCACUCCACCUCCAGGAGACUCUGGUUAUAACUCUUAUAGGACUAUAAGCGUACACUAUUAUGUACAUAUAUAGGUACUGUGAAGAUUCGUCUGACUAGAAUACUAACAGAUUUUUGAGCUAAACGUUAUAAUCUAUUAUUUAUUAUAUAAAUAACAAUGGGGUACUCGUUGACUAGAUAUUUCGUUUUCGUUUAUGGAAAAUAUUCCUUUGUAAAUUAGGCUUGUCAAAAUGACCCAAUAUUCUUAAUGUUGGCAAAAAUGGUCCUUCAUUUUAUAAUUUUCCAAAUAAGACUCAUUUUUGUCAAAAGGUGACUCAAAGCUAAGUGGUGUGUUGAAAGUGGUCUCUUUCCCUCAAAAUACUAGUUUAAGUAAAUUUUGACGUAAAUACUUAUGGUUUUUGUUAUAGAAACUUGUAACUUCUAUUUUGUGACAUGCUAGUUCUUGUUUCUUUGUAUAUUUUGGGAAAUAUGACUCUCACACAUGAAAGUUGCCCAAGAUUUCAAGUUCUUGAUAUUUUCAUAACUUUAACACAUAUAAUUUAGCAUACAAGUAUAACAAGCAAGUAAACUAAGACUUAAAACAAUUUUUUGACUUGCAUCCUCCCCCAAACACAAUAAAAAUCACGAAAAAGUAGGUGUAUGAUGCUCACAUUGAAUUGGUUGAUGAGUUGGUUUGAGUGAUGGAGUGAAGAUCCCAAGCCUAGAUUCUUGGGGGAGUUGAGGAACUUCCUUGGAAGGAAUGCUGUCCUAAGAGUUUUUCUCACAUAUUAAUAUGAGUAAAAUAAUAUGGCUUUAUCUUGAAAAUGAUGUAAAAUACUAGAUCAAUGGAGUAACUUACCUAAAAAUCUUAAGGAGAACUGGAAGAGUUGAGCCUUACAAAAUUCUUGCUUUUGCUCUUGCGGGGAGUAUUUGAGAGAAUAUGAGGGGAAUGAGAGAAAUGGUGAAGAUCAAGUUUCUUUUACUGUGGUUGCUUUAAGGGGUAAAAGAAAAAGGGGGAAAAGUGUGCAUGGAAAUAUGAAAGGUCAUGCAUUGUUAUUUGGUGGUUCUUGCAUGGAUUACUAGGAAUUGUAUGGGAAAUGGAAGAUUACAUCACAUCAAAAAGUCAAACCCUAUUACACCUAUCUUAUUUUCAUCAUGACCUACAGUUGAUAUCUUUAUAUACCUUAAGUCUUAUUUUAUGUAAAUAAGUUUUAGAUAUUCAAAUUUAGCAUAAAAUAGAGGUUUAGGGGGUCUAAGUUAUGAAAAGUUCCGAAGUAGGCAAAAUUCUGGAGUGUGAUCCAGAAUCUGAGAGGGUCCGAAGGGAAGUAGAGAGUUUCGGAGUCGGAUGGGUGAGUUCUGAAGUCAGGCCAUGCAUUCUGAAGACAAACCACAAGUUCCGGAGUCAAGGAGCGAAUUCUGGAGUCGUCUUCUUAACUCCGGAGUCGAUUACGAAGCCAACAAAUGCAGACCAGAGGUGCGAAGUUGGCUAGGAAUUCCGAAGCGGGUCACACGAUGCCUUCCAGAGCUAAACUUUCCGGAGUCAGCCCCUCUGGAGCUAGGAUAUGCAGUCAUUAGGGUCCGAAGCAGCUCUUCUUUUCUGUUGCGAGAUCUUCCAAGGUGAAAAUGUAUGGAUCGAAGCUAAGGCUUUCGGGGUGGAACAUUCUGGAGAGGGGGAGUGUUCCGAAGCAAAGGGGGAUCCGAGGUGCGAUUCUUCCCGGUUCCUUAGGAGGUAUUCCGAACUAAGAAGGUUUUGUUGGGUUUUCUCCUUCGGUUUUGAGCUGUUCCCGACUAAGGAAGAUAGAUAGAGAGAUUUGGGAUACAUAGAGAGAUUUGUAUAUACUUUGUAUUAUAAUUGUAAACAUACACCAGGAAACAUAGUCUUAAACCUUAAUGUAUUAGUACAAGUUGAGUUGUCUGGGUUGACUUGUUGACUUUAUUAGACCUAGAAUUGUCGGUUGUCACAUCGUUCCCCCGUUAGAGGGAAUUUCGGCCCGAAAUUCUUUUGAAAGGUAGGAUCAUGAAUGAGAGAAUAAGUGAGGGUACUUCUGUUACAUAUGGUCUUCGCGUUCCCAAGUGAAUUCCGGUCCAUGUUUAGUGUUCCGUCAAACCUUCACAAUCGGAAUGCGACUCUGUUUCAUACUCUUUACUUCCCUAUCCAUUAUCUAAACUAGUUCUUCAACAAACAUGAGGUUCUCGUUUAUCUCAAGCUCUUCUAGAGGAAUAACAAGGGUUUCAUCUGAUAAGCACUUUUUCAAAUUUGAUACAUGGAACAUGGGGUGUAUGUUGCUAAGCUCCGAUGGUAGCUAUAGUUUAUAGGCCACCGGACCAAUUCGGGCAAGAAUCUCGAAAGGUCCGAUGUAUCGCAGGUUUAAUUUUCCCCGUUUCCCAAAACAGAUCAUCCCUUUCCAGGGAGUGACGUUUAAUAGUACUCGAUCUCUGACUUGGAACUCCAGGCGCUUUCGUCGUUUGUCAACAUAACUCUUUUGUCGGUCACGUGAGGCUUGGAGUCGAGCUUUGAUUUGGAUUAUCUUUUCCUUUGUUUCUCGGAUGAUUUCUGGUCCUGUAAGGGUGUUGCUUGAUGGUUGCCCACUGAACAACUGUGUGUCACCCACUUCAGCCCAACAGAGGGGCGAUCUGCACUUCCGGCCAUACAGGGCCUCAAAGAGAGCGACUCCUAUGCUUGUGUGAUAGUUGUUGUUAUAGGAAAAUUCAACCAUGGGUAGCUGGCUAUCCCAGGAUUUACCAAAAUGUAUUACAAGUGCUUGAAGCAUGUCUUCUAGAGUCUAAAUGGUUCGUCCGCUUUGACCAUCAAUCUGUGGGUGGUAGGCAGUGCUCAUAUGCAGUCGGGUUCCCAAUGCUUUCUGGAGCGACUGCCAAAAACGAGAUGUGAAUCUACUAUCUCGAUCCGAGAUAAUAGAUAUGAAGACUCCAUGUAGUCUCACCACCUCCUUCAGUUAUAUUCGGGUUAGCCUUUCCAUUUUGUACGUUUCCUUUAUUGGCAGGAAAUAGGCGGAUUUUGUUAAUCGGUCAACAAUCACCCAAAUAAUAUUCAUGCCAUCUGUCGUCUUGGGUAAUUUGGUUAUAAAAUCCAUUAUGAUCCUUUCCUAUUUCUACUCGGGUAUUUCGGGUAGUUGAAGGAGACCCGAGGGCUUCUGAUACUCCACUUUUAACCUUGGCGCAAGUGAAACACUCACUUACGUAAAUGGCAAUCUCCGCUUUCAUAUUCGGCCACCAAUAAUGUUGUUUGAUAUCCAAGUACAUUUUAUCUGAACCCGGAUGAAUAGAGUACCUUGUUUUAUGAGCCUCAUUCAUUAUGACGUCUCAGAAUCCGCCAAACCUCGGUGUCCAGAUUUGGUCCAUAAGAUAAUAGGCUCUGUCUUCUUUGAUUGUUAGAUUCUUUUCCAUUCCGUGAAAGGCCUCAUUUGUGAUGUUUUUUGGCUUAUGUCGAGCCUCCUUGAUUUGUGAGGAUAGAUGGGAAUGGACGGUCAUUGUCAAUGUCUUUACUCAACGACUCGAGUAUUCCUUUUGGCUUAAGGCACCAGCUACCACAUUCGCUUUGCCUGGAUGCUACUUGAUUUCACACUCAUAGUCAUUUAGCAGUUCGACCCAUCUCGGCUCUCUCAUGUUUAAUUCCUUUUGAUUCAGAAUCUGCUGGAGGCUCUUGUGGUCCGUGAAAAUGCGGCACCUUGUACCAUAUAGGUAGUGCCUCCAAAUCUUUAAAGCGAAGACCAUAGCUCCCAUCUCAAGGUCGUGGGUGGUGUAGUUUACUUCAUGGGUCUUCAGUUGCCUUGAUGUGUAUGCUAUCACCUUUCCUCGUUGCAUAAGCACACAACUUAAUCCUUGAUUAGAAGCAUCACAAUAUACUACCAAGUCUUCUGUUCCUUCUGGCAACGACAACACCAGAGUGCUGCAGAGGGCUUGUUUCAGGGUUUGGAAUGCAGCUUCUUGUUUGUUGUACCAAUGGAAAGGUACACCCUUCUGGGUGAGAGUGGUGAGAGGCUUGGCAAUUUUGGAAAAAAUUUGGACGAACCUUCGGUAAUAACCUGCGAGGCCGAAAAAUUGUCGGAUUUCUGUUGGUAGGGUCCACAUUUAUUCCCUCUUUAAAGAGUACAUGACCAAAAAAUUCCACUCUACGAAUCCUGAAUUCGCAUUUUGAGAACUUUGCGUAAAGAUUCUAUGCUCUUAGUGUUCCCAAAAUCUGUCGUAAGUGCUGGCUGGGUUCCUCCUUGCUCUUAGAGUAAACAAGUAUAUCAUCCAUGAAAACAAUUACGAAAUUAUCGAGAGACGCCGACAAAGGCUGUUGGUGCGUUUGUGAGACCAAAAGGCAUGACUACGAAUUCGAAAUGCCCAUAACGGGUUCGAAAAGCAGUCUUUGGGAUAUCAUCCUCUCGAACUCUUAGUUGAUGGUAUCUGGACCUUAGAUCUAUGUUGGAAAAAUAACUUUCUCCUUAGAGUUGAUCGAAUAGAUCAUCUAUUCGGGGAAGUGGGUAUCGAUUCUUGACGGUGAGCUUGUUUAAUUCUCGAUAAUCUAUGCACAUUCUGAAAGAUCCGUCUUUCUUCUAGACAAACAGAACUGGAGCUCCCCAGGGUGAAAAGCUCAGCCUGAUGAACCCUUUUUCGAGAAGCUCGACUAGAUAACUCUUGCAUCUCGAAAGGAGCUAAUCCGUAGGGUGAUUUGGCGAUUCGAGUGGCUCUAGGUACAAGAUCGAAUAGGAACUCGACCUGGCGCUCAGGAGGGAUUCCUAGAAAAUCUUCAGGAAAUACGCCAGGGAAGUCACGUACUUCAGGAAUAUCGUUAAUGUUUUUCUCCUCCUUUGUUUUAUCCACGACAUGAGCAAGAAAGGCGCGAUUCUUUUUAUGCAAGCACUUUUGUGCUUGGACACAAGAAAUGAGUAGGAGGUUUGAGCUAGGUUUAUCGCCAUAAACUAUUAGGGUUUCGUCGUUGGGUAGGUGAAGGCGAACGACCUUCUCGUGAAACAUAAUUUCAGCAUGGUGGGGGCUUAACCAAUCCAUGCCAACAAUCACAUCAAAGCUCCCAAUAUUAACAUGAAUCAAACUGAUUGGGAAGGAGUGAUUGUUUAACGUUAAUGUGCACCAUAGGUAGAUAUCAUUGGUGGAUUCCAUUUUACCAUUGGCCAUUUCGACCGUAUAAGUUUCAUUCAAUUUGUGAGGAUUUUUAUUGAUUAAGUGUUUGAAUCUGUGACUUACGAAACUUCGCUCCGCACCACUAUCAAAAAAGAUGUAUACAUAAGAGUUGUUGAGGGGAAACGUACCAGUCACUACUGUUGGAUCUUGCAUUGCCUCCACUUGUCCCAUGGUUAAGACCCUUCCUGCAUUCUUAUUGUUGUUCUUGGGACAGUUGCCUUUAAAAUGGCCGAUUUCCCCGCAUCCGUAACAUGCAUGGCUAGCUUCGACGUUGUUUUCAUUGGGCUGCUUGUUUUGUUGUAAGGGCAUCUUGCAAUACUGGACAGUGUGUCCUUUUCGAUUGUAGUUGGUGCAUUCGAAAUCCUUGCAUGCCUCGCAGUGGUGAUAGUUACACUUGUCAAACUCGGGAUUUGAUCCUGUGUAUGGCUUUGUUGGCACGGUUGCGGUAGAGGCUGGGGCGGUUGGGGCUGGUGUGGCUGGAGCGGUAACUGAAUGGACUGCUACUGUCUGUGGUUUCUUGGAUGACCCUGAAUUUUGUCGACCUUUUUGUUUGUUCUCCCAGUUCUUUUUGUUCCCUCCUUCUUGUUUUCUCUCCCCUUCGGUUGUUUUGGUACUUUUCUUGUCACUGUGAUCAUAAAGUUUCUUGGCCAGCCGCUUUGCACUAUCAUAGGUCUUGGGUUUUGAGGCAAUCACGUUACCUUGAAUGGGAGGUGUCAACCUCCAGAUGACUCGCUCGACCUUCUUUCCCUAGGAUGUAAUUAUAUCAGUAUACAAAAGAGAUAGUUCGUUAAACCUCGAGAUGUACGUAUCAAUCUCCAAGUUAUGCACCGUAAGGUUCCACAGCUCUUUCUCGAGCUUUUGUACCUCCCCUCGGGGACAGUAGUCGCUGAUUAACAUUUCAUUGAAUUCUUCCCAGGGAAUGGCGUUUGCAACAGGGAGUGUCAUGGCCUCGAUGUGGCCGUUCCACCAUGACAAUGCCUGAUUGAUGAAGGUGCACGCCGCGAACUUUACUUUACUCCCUUCCAGACAUUCUCAUAUGUCGAACAUUGAUUCUACCUACUUGUCACACCCCCAAACCAAGGAUGGCGGAAACGUCCGGGGGGUGGAGGACUUCAUGUACAGUAUCACAACAACUUGUAUAAUAAUGCUCAAAGUAAAUACAACCAUCAUAAAUAUAAUUGAAAAAGUUACACCAAAGUAUAUGUUUACAUGUUUCAAAAUCAAUUACAUUAUGAUGACAAAAAUAAAUUGUUGACGGUUUAACGUCCCAUCCUCAAAGCGCUGAAGUUUUCCUGUUUCACUGAUUUCCUGAGAAUACAAGUAGUUUUGAAAGAGUGUCAACAAUUAAGUUGGUGAGUUCAUAAGAGUUUUGUUUGAAGUAGAAACCGUUUUCCUUGUAAAAUCGAUAGAGUUUGAUUUCCAGAAAAUCCAAUAUUUUCUUAGUUAAGUGUGAAUAGAAUAUUCCUAUAUGAUACAUUAAUGAACCCUAGAAUGACCCAUAGACUUCUCCUAUAAUCGUCCAGCGUAUAUAACUUAUAUAAGAUAUUAGUUGAUAAAACGUUGAAUAUAAUGGGUCUGCCCUAGGUCCACAACCAAACAAGGAACAGGAGAUGAGGCGGGCCCACCAAUUCUAAGCCAAUCACGACUAGAUUCUAUAUAACUCUAGCAUAUACACUUAGAAAUUAUAGUUGAAAACUAACAAUGCGAAAGUGAACGUGGACUUAAACCCAAUAACCGGAACCAAUCCUAGUGUAGUGUACGAAAUAGUAAUAGUGACUGUGAACAUAAACUAUACAUAUCAUAGUUCAUCAGAUAGUGAUAGUGACUAGUGAACAUGAACUAUGCAUAUUAUAGUUUACCAAAAGUGGUGGUGAUGGUGAAUAUAACCUAUACAUAUCAUAGUUCAUCAAAUAGUGAUAGUGGUAGUGAACAUGAACUAUGCAUAUUAUAGCUUAUCAAAAGUGGUGGUGAUGGUGAAUUCCUUUCUUGUAAUUAAGUUCAUAGGGUAGAUGAAACAUAAACUAUACCUAUUAUAGUUUAUCACUUUGUUUGUAAUAUAUAUAUGCCAUAACUAUACCGAUUAUAACUAGCGUGUUCGUUUGUGGGGGUAUAAUGGCUUAACUAUACUUAUUAUAGUUUAUCAUAAUUAUCCAUAGUGGUAAUAACUCUUUUGUAUGUGUAAAACCUUUAAUCAUGUGUUUGUUAUGUAAAAUAACCCUAAACUAUACCUAUUAUAGUUUAUUAAUUAUUUGUGUGGGUAGUGAGCAUAAGCCUUACUUGUCAUAAUUUACCAAUGUUUAUAUUUUAAUGGAUAUAGCCUUGUAAUAUCAUUUAUAUAUUUACCAUACUUGUGGAGGUAUAAAUCCAUUUGUUUUCUGAUGUAUGUCUAUAUAAGAAUACAAAAUUGUCAUAUAUUGCAACAACACAUAAUCACAUAAUGAUGUAUACCUUGCUCAACAUGUUACAAGGUGAAAUGAAAUUUAUAGUGUUUUUCUGUUAAUAACAUUUUCUGUAACUGUUAUUGGAAAAUUUGUAGAAAAAUCAUAAAAUGUCCAAAUCAAGUUCUGUAACUUCUGAGAGUUUGGAAAAUGAGUCUAGUUUGUUCAUAAUUUUUAUUAUAAUUUUUAAUGACUUCUUACUUGUGUGAAAAAGUCCAUAAUCACAGACUGGUCCGGAUUGAUGUUUGAAAUGAUAGGCAAUUUUGUAAAAAUCACCAUAAAUUUUAGAAAAAUCGUAUAGAGAUGUGCAAGUAGUCAUUUUAAAGCUAAGAAAUGGACCUACAUGCACCUAAAACAGUUUUGAUAACUAAAACGUUUAAGUUGUCCAAAACAGUCCAUGAAUGGGGUUGAACUUUUCUGAUGAAGGCUGUUAGAAAAGUUUAGUUAUGUUCUUGAUGUUUUAACUUGUAUCCCCCCUUUAAAACUUAAGAAAAACAUGAAAAGAUACUCACCUUGAGUGAUUUCAGUAGAUGGAUGAUGGAGAAAAGAAAUGUUCAACUCAAGAACACUUGAGAGGUGCUUGAAGAUUUGAAGAUCUAACACAAAUAUGACGAUGUUUGUGUAAGCAAUCUAUGAUUUGGAUGAAAGAUAGUAGAAUAUNGAUUUUGAGUAGGAGGAUGUGUAAUAAUCAUAAGAAAGAUGAUGAUACUUACUAAUUGUAGGAGAAAAGUCUUGGAGUAUGCCUUGAAAUUCUCGAAUUAGAGAGAGAGAAAGAUGAGAGAGUUUGGAGUGCGGUUCUUGGUAAAAAUGAGAGAAUGAUUGAAGUGUGAGGAGAGAGGAUGGAUGUUUCAGCCCUAAGAACGUGGGAAUAGUUGAAAAUAAUGAGAAAUGACCUAUGAAGUGACUAGGGAUGGGCUGGUGGUGAAUAGUGACAUGGAGUGGGUAUGGGAGUGGUUGCUUGUNUGUCUACCUUUGUACUUCACCCACUCUCUUUUGGAUAAGAUUUCAUCCUUAAAAAUGUGAUUAAUUAAUAGUUAAGGGUCCUUACAUGUNNNNNNNNNNNNNNNNNNNNNNNNNNNNNNNNNNNNNNNNNNNNNNNNNNNNNNNNNNNNNNNNNNNNNNNNNNNNNNNNNNNNNNNNNNNNNNNNNNNNAUAUAUAUAUAUAUAUAUAUAUUUAUGUUUUAUUUAUUGAUAAUAAUAUUCUGAGUACAUGGAAAAUUGCCUUCAUAAGGCAUACAAAUACUUGUAGUGAAAUAAAAUCUAGCAGAGUCAUGACUCCAUGAGUAGUGUAAUCACUUAAUCAUGUUGUCAGUAAUACAUAGGGAAGUGCAUAGCGGAAAACCGAUAUGGUAGCAAAUAAACAAGUACUAGUCGCGGCGAGUAGAGUCUGGUGGUGCUGACGAUGAGGUAGACGCGCCCUGGAGUUCGGCUAACCUGCGUUCGGUGAUCCGUACAUGCUCCUCCAAAGCGGUGUGUCGCUCCUGGUAUUCCCUGACCUCCACUCGUGCAGUGGCAAGAUCUCCUAUGAGUCGUUCCACUGGAUAGAAGUCUUGUUCUAGGUCUCGCGUGCGAGCAUCGGUAACCUGCAUAGCCGCCCGCAUCAGCAUUACCCGGUCGGUAGUUACUUGAGCCUGGUCGCCGAUGUCCCUAAUACGUUUGACCACGACAGGGAGUGCGCGAUCCGAUGGUCCUCCAUGUUGGAGGUUGUAGUUACCUCGGUUCAUGCCAAAUGGUGGUUGUUGUCCCUGGCGUCGGCCCCACCCCUCAAUAUCGUCAGUCCAAGGAGGUGUAGGGCCAUAUUUGUCACACCCCCAAACCAGAACGGUGGAAUUGUUCGAGGGCGGAUGACUUCAUGUAGUAUCCUAAAAGUUGAAUACAUAGUAAAGAAAGUAAAACAACCAUCAUAUAUAGAAUUUAAAAGUUACAUUGCUGAAUGAUACUUGUUUCAAAACAAGUUACAAUAUGAUGACAAAAUGAGUUUUAAACUGACGCCUUAGCGUCACUUCUCCAAAAGAUGAAGUUCACCUGUAUUACUGAAUCUCUGAGAAAUACAAGUAAAUUUAAAAGAGUAGAUCAGCGUUUAAGUUGAUGAGUUCAUAAGUAUUUAAUGUCAAUGUUUGUAUAAAUUUGAAUGAAAAUCUUUGUAGAUGUUUGAAAACUCCUAGAAAAUCCCAUAUUUCCUACUAGUAUAAAAGUAGUCUUCUACUAAGACCCGAUGGUUUUUGAAUGUUUGCUUCUAGAAAUCAAAUAUUUUUCCAUAAGUGUGUGGUAGUUUAAAAGUUCCAAAACUGUAAUGUAAUAGUCUUUUUCAUGCCUAGAAUAGUAGAUUUAUGUAUGUAUAAAAUCACUAAGGCAUUUGAUAAACCCGUAAAUCAACAUGUUUUUAAUACUCCAUGUGAGUUUUAUAACCAUGCUAUUGACCCAGACCGCCCGUGACAACGUUCUUUAGGCGUUGGAAUGUUAUGACAUUUGUCACCUUAGACCUGUCGGUCUAACUAUGACAACCCGAUAUUUCAACUCUUUGUAAUGGCCUAAUAAGUCNNNNNNNNNNNNNNNNNNNNNNNNNNNNNNNNNNNNNNNNNNNNNNNNNNNNNNNNNNNNNNNNNNNNNNNNNNNNNNNNNNNNNNNNNNNNNNNNNNNNAGUAAGCAACAAGUCAAAACUUACCAAACCGUUACUAGAAUCAAAGACAAGAAUUUAAAUACUAUAGGUGUAUUUGCUACCUAAACUAGUUUAACUUACAUGUUUUGCAANAAGCAACAAGUCAAAACUUACCAAACCGUUACUAGAAUCAAACACAAGAAUUUAAAUACUAUAGGAGUAUUUGCUACCUAAACUAGUUUAACUUACAUGUUUUGCAAGUUUCAACUUUAUUCAACUCCUAUAACCCUAUUUCUCGUACAGUCAAAUGGCUGGAUUUCACCACCCUGGCGACCCCUACUUUCCCAACCAAGGCAACGGAGGAUGGGUCGAAGAUGAUCCCGAAGAGGACGAGGAACCCAUAGAAGUGGAUGAUGACUCCGGUACCGACUCAGAACCGGAAGUGAUCGAUCCACCACCAGUUCAACCUCCCGUCUUUGUAAGGAACUUUCAAGGACCGACUCCCGUCUGGGGAAGUCACCUCCAUCAUUGGAGCCAACAAGAAAACUUACGCCCUCCCUACGGCAUGUGCCGGGACUUCUAUGAUGUCCGCGGCGGAGGUUCGGCUGAUCGGGCACUCCCGGUAAUGGUGGGUAAGCUAGCCAAUCAGUCCUAUCAGUCCGGAGUUCAAGCUAGCCGACUCCGGGAUGUCAACGUGGAAGUGCAGGUUCACACUUCUGACAUCCGUAGGCUGGACAAGAUACAAGACAAUGCUCAACUCCAAACCGAGGCAUUCCAAGCGCAAAUGAUUGCAGCCCUCGCUGAACUGAGGGAACAACAAGCCGCUUUUGAUAGGCGUCUAAUGGAGUCGAAGCAAUCAGAUGCAGAGUCAAGCUCCAAGCGCAACCUACGUCGCAAGUAGUGCUUGUCAAAGACUCAAAUUUUGUUAUAGCUUAGGACCUCGGCUAAAAGUCUUUAAAUUUCUCGAACUUUGUAAUCGGAGACCCUUAUAGGGGUCAAAUUUUCAUGAUCGUUGUAUCAACUUUUAUAUUAAUAUAAGUGACACUAUUAUUACUACGUUGAGUAUUUCGUUCAAACCUUGAAAAGUCUUUGAGAAACCAAAUACUUGUUUCAUACUUUCAGUCUUACAAAUAACUUUCAUUCUUCUAUUUUAAGACUCAUACUAGCAUCUGUUGUUGAACUAUAGCAAUUUAGUUCAUGAGACACAUUAAUUUUCUAUUCUAUGGAAUUCUUAUCUUUACCUUUUCAACCUAUAGUUGAAGGAUGCCUCCGCGUAGGAAUCCAAGGCGAAGCAACGGUGGGGAAGCACCUGUACCACCACCACCUCCACCACCUCAAUUUGAUGCUGUUAUGUUCCAAGCAGCAGUCACCGCAGCGGUAGCAGCUGCCAUGUCACAGAUCAAUAACUCGAGUACUAAUGGCUCGGGAUCUGGCACACACCCAUCCAACCAUGGCGAGAGUCAUGGACCACCCCGAGAAUGCACCUAUAAGGACUUUACUAAUGCCAAGCCCCGGAUGUUUUAUGGAUCUGGUGGUGUGAUAGCCCUGAGACAGUGGAUUGAAAGGACAGAGUCAGUCUUUGAAAUCUGCUCCUGUCCCGAGCACAACAAAGUCAAAUUUGCAACUUUCACCCUUAUUGAUAGAGCUUUAACUUGGUGGAAUGGCCACGUUAAAGUACUUACCCUGAUAGUGGCAAACUCCAUAAGCUGGGAGAGCCUAAAAGCCAUGAUGAUGAGAGAAUACUGCCCACGGGGAGAGAUUCAAAAGCUCGAACACGAACUAUGGACUCUCGGAAUGGUUGGUACCGACAUCGCAACUUAUACCAACAGAUUCUGCGAUCUGGCAAUCCUUUGCCCAGAUAUGAUUGCUCCCGAGAGCAAGAAAAUAGAAAGGUACAUCUGGGGACUGACGCCCCAAAUACGAUCAAGCGUGUUAGCUUCCAAACCUGACACCUUUGAAAGUGCUAAGGAACUGGCACAAUCUCUGAUUGACUACGGAGGUCAUCAGAACUCAACCGUUUCUGCACCAGAACCACAGAAAGGAAACAACAACAACAACAACAACAACAACAACAACAACAACAACAACAACAACAGCAAGAAGAGAGUAUGGAAUAAAGGGAAGGGUGGGUCUUCCCAAGAAUCCGCAAAGAAACAACUGGUUUCAGUGAAUGCUGCCACUGUACCUACUACAGCUCCUACAAAUACCUACCCAACAAAGCCUUAUGUAGGUAACCUCCCAAAGUGCACCAAAUGCAAUUACCACCACCAUGGACCUUGUCGGGAAAUGCAGUGCGCCAACUGCAACAGAAAGGGACACACAGCCCGUUUCUGCAAGGACCCCGCAAAGCCGAUCACUCAAGUUCCCAGUGCGGGUGUAGGGCAGACUUGCUACGGUUGUGGCGAGGUGGGCCACUACAAGAGGAACUGUCCUAAGGCAGCAGGCACCGGAGGUGUGGGACGAGUUUUGGCAAUAGGCCACGACGAAGCUGUAGCUGACCCAACUAUAGUUGCUGGUACGUUCCUUCUCGAUAAUUCAUAUGCAUGCAUAUUAUUCGAUAGUGGAGCGGAGAGAAGCUUCGUGAGUCAAAACUUUAUUCAUUUACUUAAACCUAAACCUAGCAAGUUAGAAAAAUCAUUCACUGUAGAGAUGGCCAAUGGAAAAACCGAAAACACUAACUGCAUAUACAUGGGCUGUACGUUAACUUUAGACGGCCAUUCUUUUCCAAUCAAUCUCAUGCCGGUCCAAAUUAAAAGUUUCGACGUCAUAGUCGGCAUGGAUUGGUUGAGUCUUCUUCGCGCCGACAUCAUGUGCUUUGAGAAAGCAGUCCGUCUUAAUCUCCCUAACAACGAAACAUUAGUUAUCUACGGCGACAAAUCUAGUACAAACCUUCGCAUCAUUUCGUGCAUCCAAGCUCGAAAGUGCUUGCGGAAGGAUUGUCGAGCAUUCCUAGCGCACAUCGUUGAUACAAGUCAAGAACUGAAGGACAUCAAGAGCAUCUCGGUAGUACGCGACUUUCCCGAUAUCUUUCCAGAAGAACUACCAGGAUUACCACCGCAACGCCAAGUCGAGUUCAGAAUCGACUUAGUUCCAGGAGCUACCCCAGUAGCGAAGUCGCCUUAUCGUCUCGCACCAGCAGAGAUGCAGGAACUUUCCAGUCAACUUAAUGAACUCCUUCAAAAAGGAUUCAUAAGACCAAGUUUCUCACCUUGGGGAGCACCGGUCUUGUUUGUAAAGAAGAAAGACGGAUCGUUCCGUAUGUGCAUCGACUACAGAGAGCUGAACAAACUUACUGUCAAGAACCGCUAUCCUCUACCCCGUAUUGACGACCUAUUCGAUCAACUUCAAGGGGCGAACUACUUCUCCAAAAUAGACCUGCGAUCCGGAUAUCACCAAUUACGAGUUCUAGAGGGGGACAUUCCAAAGACAGCUUUCCGAACUCGUUAUGGACACUACGAAUUCGUAGUGAUGCCGUUCGGAUUAACCAAUGCACCAGCAGUAUUUAUGGACCUAAUGAAUAGGGUAUGCCGCCCUUACUUGGAUCAGUUCGUCAUCGUCUUUAUCGAUGAUAUACUUAUCUACUCUCGAAGUGAGGAAGAGCAUAGUCAACACCUACGAAAAGUCCUAGAAACACUGCGAACGGAGAAACUCUAUGCGAAGUUCUCUAAAUGCGAAUUUUGGAUUCGAAGAGUCGAAUUUUUAGGUCACGUUGUUAGCGAGAAAGGUAUACACGUGGACCCCUCCAAAAUUAAGGCUAUUGAGAACUGGUCGGCACCAAAGACACCUACAGAAAUUCGUCAAUUUCUAGGUCUAGCUGGCUACUAUCGCAGAUUCAUAAAGAACUUUUCGAGCAUUGCGAAACCUCUUACUUCAUUAACCCAGAAAGGUGUGGCCUUUGACUGGGAAGCGAAACAAGAGAAGGCAUUCCAGACACUAAAGCAGGCCUUGUGCACCGCACCGAUACUAUCCCUCCCCGAAGGGAUAGAAGACUUCGUAGUGUAUUGCGAUGCUUCAAAUCAAGGACUUGGUUGUGUUCUUAUGCAGAGAGGGAAGGUUAUCGCUUAUGCCUCCCGACAGCUUAAGACACACGAAGUGAACUAUACGACACACGAUCUCGAGUUAGGAGCAGUGGUAUUUGCUCUGAAGAUCUGGAGGCACUACUUAUACGGAACAAAGAGUACUAUUUUCACCGAUCACAAGAGCCUUCAACACAUUUUCGAUCAGAAGGAACUCAACAUGCGACAACGACGAUGGGUUGAGUUACUGAAUGACUACGAAUGCGAAAUUCGUUAUCAUCCUGGCAAGGCCAACGUAGUAGCCGACGCCCUCAGUCGAAAGGAAUACACUGGUCGGAGGGUCAAAUCUCUGACCAUGACUAUCCAUUCCCACUUAUCCACACAAAUUAAGGAAGCACAAAUGGAAGCUUUGCAACCUGAAAAUGUGGCGGGUGAAUCCCUGCGAGGAAUGGAGAAGAAUUUAGAAGUCAAGGGUGGCGGAGCCUACUAUCUCAUGGACCGAAUCUGGACCCCAAAUCAUGGUGGUUUCAGAAACGUAGUCAUGACCGAGGCUCACAACUCAAGAUAUUCCGUUCACCCGGGUUCAGAUAAAAUGUAUCUGGAUCUUAAGAAACUGUACUGGUGGCCUAACAUGAAAGCAGAAAUUGCUACCUUCGUGAGUAAAUGUCUUACUUGCGCUAAGGUUAAGGUCGAGUAUCAGAAACCGUCAGGACUACUACAACAACCAGAGAUACCGGAAUGGAAAUGGGAGCGGAUUACUAUGGACUUCAUAACCAAGUUACCCAAGACGACAAGUGGACUCGAUACCAUAUGGGUCAUUGUCGACAGAUUGACCAAAUCCGCACAUUUCCUACCCAUCAAGGAGACUGACAAAAUGGAGAAGCUUACAAGAACUUACUUAAGGGAAGUAGUGCGACUGCAUGGUGUUCCGAUAUCCAUUAUCUCCGAUCGAGAUAGUAGAUUCACUUCAAGAUUCUGGCAGUCACUACAAAGUUCCCUGGGAACUAGGCUAGACAUGAGUACAGCCUACCACCCACAGACAGACGGACAAAGUGAGAGAACAAUACAAACUUUAGAAGACAUGCUGAGAGCCUGCGUGAUUGACUUUGGAAAGGCAUGGGAUAUUCAUUUACCCCUUGUCGAAUUUUCAUACAACAAUAGUUAUCAUACAAGCAUAAAGGCUGCUCCGUUUGAAGCCCUCUAUGGUCGAAAGUGCAGAUCCCCUCUGUGCUGGACUGAAGUUGGCGAUACCCAGUUAGCUAGAGGAAGAGUUCCUGAAAGCACUCUCACCGGUCCGGAGAUCAUACGUGAAACAACAGAGAAGAUCGUUCAGAUUCGUGAACGAUUGAAAGCCUCAAGAGACCGACAGAAAAGCUACGCUGACCAAAGGAGGAAACCUUUGGAAUUCCAGGUAGGAGACCACGUCUUAUUAAAGGUCUCACCGUGGAAGGGUUUAAUACGAUUUGGAAAGCGUGGGAAACUAAAUCCAAGAUACAUAGGGCCUUUCGAGAUUCUUGCCAGAAUCGGCCCUGUGGCUUACAAGCUUAACCUACCGCGCGAACUUAGUAACAUCCAUCCAACCUUCCACGUCUCAAACUUGAAAAAGUGUCUGUCCGACGAGACUCUUGUUAUUCCACUCGACGAGAUCGAGAUCAACGAGAGCCUCAACUUUGUGGAAGAACCAGUAGAAAUCAUGGACCGAGAGGUCAAACAAACAAAACAAAGUCGCAUACCCAUCGUGAAGGUUCGCUGGAACGCCAAGCGGGGACCCGAAUUCACAUGGGAACGCGAAGAUCAGAUGAAACAAAAGUACCCUCAUCUCUUUCAUGUUCACUAGUAUCUUUACUACUUUAAAUUUCGGGACGAAAUUCUCUCUAACGGGGGGAUGAUGUGACAACCCGAUAUUUCAACUCUUUGUAACGACCAAAAUGGGUCAAGUAUUGUAACCACUUCUGAAUAAUAAAAAGUUACUUUCAUAAUAAAAUGUAUAAAUAAGUUCUACUUAAUUUCCUUCUAUGAUUAAAUGUCUUUGAACCAUGAUCGUACGUGAAAAGAACGCCCAAAUCCGACUUCAUAUAGCGAAGUUAUGAUUUUUCCAAGUUCGGCUUAGCAACAGACAGCUAAAAACUCGAAUCGGAGAUCGAGCGACUUUUGGCCGGAAUGACCUAAACGAGAAUCGAAGGUCUCGACAAUGGUAUUCCAGCGGUAAAAAGUCUGGCAAAAACCGACAUCAGAUAAAGAAGUUAUGAAUUUUCAAAGAAAUUCCUUAAACACGAUGGGUUUUUAAUAAAUAAUAAAAAUAUAAUUUUGGAAUUUGCCGACGGAGUCUAAACGAAAGUUGUAGAGCGUAGUCUCACCUACGCGAGGAUAUAAAGACCAUCGAAAACGGAGUUCGUAUGAAGAAGAUAUGAAUUUUUGAAGUUUAUUAAAUAAAUUAAUUAUUUAUUUAAUUCAAAAUUCGGAUAUUAUCCGAAGGGGAGUCAGCAUCCUCCUCCGAGGUACGCGCUGCGUACCCCUGUACGCCCCGCGUAACCGAGAGGAUUGGCCUCUGAUCGUCCACGUCGCGCUAUCCGAAGAAACCGACCCAUCCGACCCGUCCGAAGCCCCGACCCGUCCGACCCGACGUCCCAUCCGACCCGGCGUCCCAUCCGACCCGCGUACCCAGCAACCCGUCCCAUCCGAACCGAGGCAGUCGAGGCUUCGGUCAUGCAUGACGUACGCGUACGCGCUGCGUACGAGCGUACGCCCCGCGUACCGAGGCAGACCAGCCUUACUAUAAAUAGGAUGCGAGGGUUUCCAAAGAAAGGGUUCAUUUCUCUUCUCUCUCUCUCAACUUUGCCUCGUUUUCCGUGUCCGUUCAAACCCGAAGCUCUGGUCUUUUUGGCUCAAGUCCCGAAGGUCGAUUUUACUCCCGAGAUUCCCGAGAAUCCCGAGGAAAAUCCGUUUCCCGAGACGAAACUCUGCCCGGUUUUCCAUCUCGCUAUCUCCAAAACUUUCAAGUGAGUUUCAUACCCCUUAAUCAACCUUUUUAAUUAUUCUAAAUACUUUUAUAUGCUUUCAAGGGGGGGAUUACAAGUAAAACACACGAGUAUUAUCGUGUGUUACAUAAAGAAACUCUUUUAUAUACUGUUAUAUAUUCAAAUCACAUGCGAUUUAUAAACAUUUAAAGGAACUUUUAUAUAUAUAUAACAUAUGUCACAAUAGCAUUUUACCUUUUAAAAUAUAAUGUUGUUGUAAUGCAUGUAUAAACUAAACUGUUCUUAGAUUUUUCUUGUCUAUCCUAGACUCUACACCAAAAAUCUAUACUUUCAUAAACAAGUGAUUCCUUUUCUCAAUAUUUCUAAACAAACAAGACACGCUUUUUGGAAACUAUAAUAGGUAUAGUUUUACGAACAGAUUUCUAACUCUUAUGUACUAGAAACACAUAUUUCAAGAAGUUUACUUUCGUAUACAAGAACAAACGUAACAUUUUAACAAGUAGAUCUGUUUUUAUACCACGGAUUUGUGAGACACUAACUUCAUGUACGUUCGAGUACACAUUUCAAGUCCUGUAUUAUAUACCAGAAUCCCUUGGAGGGGGAGCAUGGUGUUUGUGUAUAGAUCUAUACGGGCUUGACAACCCGCGCCCUGACUGUUAGCUGCAGUCCACCGUUUGGGGUGACAAACGUCAUAACAUUCCAACGCCUGAAGAACGUUGUGUAUAGGCAUUCCGAGUCAAUAGUAUGGUUAUAAAACUCACAUGGGGUAUUAAAAAUGCAUUGAUUUACAAGGUUUUCAAACACAUUGGUUAUUUUACACUUACAUACAUUUUAGAAACAAACAUUGGGCUUGAGAGAAGGCUACUUUUAUACUAGUAGAAAAUAUAGGAUUUCCUAAACACAACACAACCAAGGACAAAACAUUUCAUUUCAUACAAACAUUGUCAUUUAAAUACUUAUGAAACUCACCAGCUUAAAUGCUAAUCUACUCUUUCAAAAUUACUUGUAUGUCCCAGGGAAUCAGUAAUUUCAUGUAUCAUUAUGCUUUUGAUGAAGGGAUGCUGCGGCGCCAGUUUAAUCUCAUAUUUUGACAUCAUAUUGUAAUUGGUUUUGAACAUGUAACUUUUGACAAAUGUAAACUUUCAAUUAUAUAUAUGAUGGUUGUAUUGCUUUCUUUACUAUGUAUUCAAUUGUUACGUUGCCACAUGAAGUCAUCCGCCCCCGAACGUUUCCGCCGUUCAGGUUUGGGGGUGUGACACUAACUGUAGCUAACAGUUUAGGUGCAUGAUUGUCAAUCCCAUAUAGAUCUAUACACAAGUAUCACGCUCUCCCUAUAAGAGAUUAUAGUAUAUAAUACAGGACUUUAACUGCAUACUUGAAAGUACGUGAUGUUGAAUGUCUCACAAAACUUAGUAUCAAAUAGAUUUAUGUAUGAAAAGUCCAAUUAUUCUUGUAUAUGAAAGUAUUUCGUUGAUAUAGUAAUUAUAGUACGUAAAAUCUUAUGAAUAUCUAGUAAACUAUAUCUAUUAUAGUUUUUCCAAAUGUGUGAUUCGUUUGUAUGAUAAACCCUAGUGUAGUGUCGACUUUGUGUGUAAAGUAUAACAUUUGUAAUACCAUUAUUCAACAUUUAUACUCAAAAUGUAAAUAAAGUGUUUGAUAUUUAUAUAACAACAUGUUUCAUUCCAAAAAGACAAAGUGCUAUCAUGAUAUGUUGUAUGAGAAUGUUUUCAUAUGAUAGUUAUAAAUCACAUAUGAUUUAUUAUAUAACAAA